GAUGAACGCUGGCGGCGUGCCUAAUACAUGCAAGUAGAACGCUGAAGGAAGGAGCUUGCUCUUUCCGGCUGAGUUGCGAACGGGUGAGUAACGCGUGGGUAACCUGCCUGGUAGCGGGGGAUAACUAUUGGAAACGGUAGCUAAUACCGCAUAACAGUAGAUGUUGCAUGGUGUCUACUUAAAAGGUGCAAUUGCACCACUGCCAGAUGGACCUGCGUUGUAUUAGCUAGUUGGUGAGGUACCGGCUCACCAAGGCGACGAUACAUAGCCGAACUGAGAGGGCGAGCGGCCGCACUGGGAGUGUGACACGCCCCAGUGGGCCUCAGGAGGGAGCAGGAGUGAUACGGCGGCAAGGGAUGGAAGAUUGUGCGAGCAAGGCGGCGGGAGUGUAGAAGGACGCCGGAUCGUGAAUGACGGCUGUAAGAGAAGAACGCGCGUGCGAGUGGAAAGUUCACACAGUGACGGUAUCUUACCAGAAAGGGACGGCUAACUACGUG
rnacentral:rRNA from 1 species